GGCAGCCUCGGAGCUGCACGCGGGGCCUAAGGGAGGAGGGGACGCAGCCCCGCAGCCACUGCUGCCUGCACCGCGGCCUGGAUGAAGCGCAGGACAGAUACAGCUCGGAGCGUCUCGCAAAGUUGCUAAACUGCCCAAGCUGUGCUCAUACUGCAACCCUCCUGCCUCAGCCUCCGGAGUGCUCGAUUACAAACCUGCUUCCCACCCGUUUUACCAGUUUAAGGAAGCCUUUUACUCUGAGCACAUCUUCCUGUGUCUGCCUGUCUUCCCCUCAAGGCUGUGUGCUGCUGAGGAAGGAGCCUUGAAGUUUGCAACUCUAGCGUCGUUUUCGUGGUCCUGGUGUGGACAGCACGGACACCAGCGGCCCCAGCCUUCCCUCCAGGCCUGGCGCACAGGGGACCCAGCUUCCUUCCCGUCCCCAUGGUGACCGCUGGGGAGGCGGGGGGGGGG
rnacentral:lncRNA from 1 species